rnacentral:rRNA from 1 species
AGAGUUUGAUCCUGGCUCAGGAUGAACGCUGGCGGCGUGCCUAACACAUGCAAGUCGAGCGGUAUAUACCUUAUCAAAUCUUCGGAAGAGAGACGGUAUAGAGAGCGGCGGACGGGUGAGUAACGCGUAGGCAACCUGCCCCAUACAGAGGGAUAGCCUCGGGAAACCGGGAUUAAAACCUCAUAACACGAGAAGUUCACAUGGACUUUUCGCCAAAGAUUUAUCGGUAUGGGAUGGGCCUGCGUCUGAUUAGCUAGUUGGUAAGGUAACGGCUUACCAAGGCAACGAUCAGUAGCCGACCUGAGAGGGUAAUCGGCCACAUUGGAACUGAGACACGGUCCAAACUCCUACGGGAGGCAGCAGUGGGGAAUAUUGCACAAUGGGCGAAAGCCUGAUGCAGCAACGCCGCGUGAGCGAUGAAGGCCUUUGGGUCGUAAAGCUCUGUCCUUGGGGAAGAAAAAAAUGACGGUACCCUUGGAGGAAGCCCCGGCUAACUACGUGCCAGCAGCCGCGGUAAUACGUAGGGGGCAAGCGUUAUCCGGAAUUAUUGGGCGUAAAGAGUGCGUAGGUGGUUUUGUAAGCGCGAGGUGAAAGGCUAUGGCUCAACCAUAGUAAGCCUUGCGAACUGCAAGACUUGAGUGCAGGAGAGGAAAGUGGAAUUCCUAGUGUAGCGGUGAAAUGCGUAGAUAUUAGGAGGAACACCAGUGGCGAAGGCGACUUUCUGGACUGUAACUGACACUGAGGCACGAAAGCGUGGGGAGCAAACAGGAUUAGAUACCCUGGUAGUCCACGCCGUAAACGAUGAGCACUAGGUGUCGGGGUCGCAAGGCUUCGGUGCCGCAGUUAACGCAUUAAGUGCUCCGCCUGGGGAGUACGCACGCAAGUGUGAAACUCAAAGGAAUUGACGGGGACCCGCACAAGCAGCGGAGCAUGUGGUUUAAUUCGAAGCAACGCGAAGAACCUUACCAGGACUUGACAUCCCUCUGACCGGCGCUGCCGAGUCUUCCCUUCGGGGCAGAGAUGACAGGUGGUGCAUGGUUGUCGUCAGCUCGUGUCGUGAGAUGUUGGGUUAAGUCCCGCGACGAGCGCAACCCUUGUCCUUAGUUGCCAUCAUUUAGUUGGGCACUCUAAGGAGACUGCCGUGGAUAACACGGAGGAAGGUGGGGACGACGUCAAAUCAUCAUGCCCCUUAUGACCUGGGCUACACACGUGCUACAAUGGCCGGUACAAAGGGCAGCAAAGCCGCGAGGUGGAGCCAAUCCCAAAAACCAUUCUCAGUUCGGAUUGCAGGCUGCAACUCGCCUGCAUGAAGUUGGAGUUGCUAGUAAUCGCAGAUCAGAAUGCUGCGGUGAAUGCGUUCCCGGGUCUUGUACACACCGCCCGUCACACCAU